rnacentral:tRNA from 1 species
GCUCCUGUAGCCCAAUUGGUAGAGGCGACUGAUUCAAGAUCAGUAGGUUGUGAGUUCGAGUCUCACCAGGAGUACCA